GGAUGUGAGGGCGACCUCGCUGUGACAUCUGUUACCCCACUGAUCUCCAGGGUUGAUUCGGCUGAUCUGGCUGGCUAGGCGGGUGUCCCCUUCCUCCCUCACCGCUCCAUGUGCAUCCCUCCCGAAGCUGCACGCUCGGUGGAAGAGGACAACCAUCCCAGAUAGAAGGAGUGUACCGUUCUUCGGUCAAAGGUAUACGAUAGCUGCACUCCCCUGCUAGAACCUCCAGACAAGCUCAAGGUCCAUAAUAGGACUUUCAACCCAUUAGUGCUAAGCUUGCUCAGACACCUUUGGUGAGAUUUUAUCAAAAGUU